rnacentral:rRNA from 1 species
UCAGACGAUGCGUCAUGCAUAUCAAUAAGCGGAGGAAAAGAAACUAACAAGGAUUCCCCUAGUAACGGCGAGUGAAGCGGGAAGAGCUCAAAUUUGAAAUCUUAAAGGGUUUCCCUUUACGGAAUUGUAGUUUAAAGAAGUGUUUUCUGUUGAGGUUUUGGUAAAAGUUCUUUGGAAUAGGACAUCAUAGAGGGUGAGAAUCCCGUAUUUGACCUUUACUUUCAACUUUGUGAUACACUUUCAAAGAGUCGGAUUGUUUGGGAAUGCAGUCCAAAAUGGGUGGUAAAUUUCAUCUAAAGCUAAAUAUUGGCGAGAGACCGAUAGCGAACAAGUACCGUGAGGGAAAGAUGAAAAGAACUUUGAAAAGAGAGUUAAACAGUACGUGAAAUUGUCAAAAGGGAAGCGUUUGACACCAGUGUUGUUUUUCUGAAAAUCAAUUAAAGAACUGUUUAUGCUAAGCUGUUUAGACUUUAUCAGCUAUCUGUUUAGUUUUAGGCUUUUCUUUAAUGCACUUUUCAGUUAACAAGUCAACAUCAAUUUCUUUUGCUGUAAAAAAGCUUGAGGAAGGUGGCUUGAGAUUCGUCUUAAGUGUUUAUAGCCUCUUGCCUAUGCAGUCGGAGAGAUUGAGGUCUGCAGCGUAGAUCCUUCGGGGCUAAAUGCAUUUGUGCUAGGUUAUAGCAUUUUAUAGACAACUUGUUGACUAUGAUUUGUCUUGUAGCUUACUCGCUUAUGUUAUUUUACCUACGCUUAGGAUGUUGACACACGCGCGUGCUCG